AAGAAAAUCGAGAUCACUGACCUGCCACAACUGGUGGCUGGUUUCCACAGUUUGGUGGGCAUGGCGGCGGUGCUGACUUGCGUAGCCACGUAUAUGCACGACUUCCCCGCCAUGGCGCUGGACCCCACAGCCGUCACACUCAAGACAUCGCUCUUCCUCGGCACAUACAUUGGAGGCAUUACUUUCACCGGUUCCUUGGUGGCGUACGGCAAGCUGCAGGGGUCGCUGUCGUCUGCGCCGCUGCUGCUGC